AUUCAGACGAGAUGCUGUUUUUAGGGCAGUUUAUUAAAGAAGACCUGACAUGGAUGACUUCCAAUGAGAAACGACUGCUAAUACUUAGCAAUAAUUCAUUACAGAAGGACCCUACCAGACUAUAUUUGAAUACGGCAUACCCAUGAAUUCUGGAACUGUUAUUCCUUAACCCAGUUUGGAGGAUAAGAGCUUACCAACUAGUUAUAAAUAUGCUGAGGUGAUGUAUUGCAAAAUAGCCAACAUACAACAAUAUGGAUGACCCUCUGUCUGGUCAACAGGAGUUUAAAUAUGGACAGGACAGUGAUGUGGCAGCUCUUCCCUGGCUCAUUCACCUCUUGCCUUUCAUUUGUGAAAGGAAGAAAGAAGAAAGAGGGUCAAUGUGCAACUGAAGCUACUGAUUGUGCUAUGUGAUGAGCAUCAAUCCAUGCUUUGAGGGGGAUGAAUCAGCACAGCCCUGCCUGCACUGCGUUGGGAACAGAAGUUGCAUCCAGAAUUUUUGCAUCAUUCUGGACCAAAAAGCCAUUCCCUCCAUGAUGAAGACCACUGAUGCAGCCUUCCACUACAUCAUGAGUAAAACAACUACAGAACUAAAUACCAGGUUGGAACGUAUUUAAGAAAAAUGAAACCUCUUUUGAACUGAAAUGUCUGUUUUGUUAUGGAAAAAUCUUUAGUAUUGUGAAGGAUAAGCAUUUCUGCCUGCCAGUAAGGUAAUUGCAGUGUAUUUUAAUGUUCAAGUUUUGAGUAGGGUGGCUAAUUUUUUUUAAACUCUCAUUUGAUAUAUUAAAGACCUUAUAAUAAGUGGUUUUCAUGUCACUGCGCUGUGGUAUAAGAUAACUUUCAUUAUUCCAUACUGUAUUCUGUUUUCUAAUUGUAGCUGAGGUAUUUAAAUAAGCAGUGUUAAAUGCAAAGUGUUGUGUGUAUCAAUUUAAAUAUUAAAUGUGAUGUACUUUAAUAAA